rnacentral:rRNA from 1 species
CACUCCUACGGGAGGCAGCAGUGGGGAAUAUUGGACAAUGGGCGCAAGCCUGAUCCAGCCAUGCCGCGUGAGUGAUGAAGGCCCUAGGGUUGUAAAGCUCUUUCACCGGUGAAGAUAAUGACGGUAACCGGAGAAGAAGCCCCGGCUAACUUCGUGCCAGCAGCCGCGGUAAUACGAGGGGGCUAGCGUUGUUCGGAUUUACUGGGCGUAAAGCGCACGUAGGCGGACUAUUAAGUCAGGGGUGAAAUCCCGGGGCUCAACCCCGGAACUGCCUUUGAUACUGGUAGUCUUGAGUUCGAGAGAGGUGAGUGGAAUUCCGAGUGUAGAGGUGAAAUUCGUAGAUAUUCGGAGGAACACCAGUGGCGAAGGCGGCUCACUGGCUCGAUACUGACGCUGAGGUGCGAAAGCGUGGGGAGCAAACAGGAUUAGAUACCCGAGUAGUCCC